CCGAGUGAGGGCCUCGUGCCCGACCUCCAACCCCUUGAAGUUACCAACUCUGUUGCCUCGGGGGCGACCCGGCCCCCGCGUCGGCGCCCCCGGAGGACCACACCACUCUGCGUUACUGCGUCGGAGUUUGAAGCAAAAAUGUUUAUUA
rnacentral:misc_RNA from 1 species